GAGCACCUUAAAGAAUCGCUAUCAAAGUAACACAAACGGAGCAUUAAUCCUCGGAUUACUAGCUCUUUUAUUAUUACUUUGGGGAAAGUCCUCGGACACAUGACAGAAAGUGUCGCCUAUAAUGAGGUAUAACCAAUUCGCACUUCAUGGCCUUCUUUAUGAUCGAAGAAGAGUUCUUACUCGAGAUUGGGAGGUCGCGAAUUUGGUUUUGUUGGUCAUAGCACAGUUAUGCGAUUGUAACUUCUUUCCGUAAAAAAGAAAAAGGUUAUAACACAACGGGGCUUACUCUUAGGGUGUU
rfam:Rhizophagus irregularis DAOM 197198w jcf7180003177974, whole genome shotgun sequence.